rnacentral:rRNA from 1 species
AUUGAACGCUGGCGGCAGGCCUAACACAUGCAAGUCGAGCGAGAGGCGGACGGGUGAGUAAUGUAUGGGGACUGACCGAUAGAGGGGGAGAACGACUGGAAACGGUGGAGAAUACCGCAUAUUGUCGGAGAACCCAAAUGGGAUUAGCUAGUAGGUAAGGUAAUGGGUUACCUAGGCGACGAUCCCUAGCUGGUCUGAGAGGAUGAUCAGCCACACUGGGACUGAGACACGGCCCAGACUCCUACGGAGGCAGCAGUGGGGAAUAUUGCACAAUGGGCGCAAGCCUGAUGCAGCCAUGCCGCGUGUAUGAAGAAGGCCCUAGGGUUGUAAAGUACUUUCAGUCGGGAGGCGUUACCGGCAGAAGAAGCACCGGCUAACUCCGUGCCAGCAGCCGCGGUAAUAC